UAUCAAUGAGUAAUCGAACAAACGUUUAUGCCCUUUGUAAGCAGUAAUUUUUCUGAAAAUGCUAUUAUAAUUGUAUCUAAGAAACCAUCAGUAACAUUGUAUGUUUUAAUAUUUCAAAUUAUUAAUUGUUUUAAUGAUCAUAUUAAAUAUGUACCAUAUGACUUUACGUCAUAACCUUAGGUCAUCUGUAUAGAAAGAGAUAUGUAUUUAUUAUCUUUAAUGUUAUCUCUGAUCUAUACAGGGUUCUACAACAUAUGACUAAUGUAUUCUAGGAGGAAAUUUGGCUCAGGGUAUGUAGAAAUCUGUUUAUCUUGGGUUAUGACGGAAUCACAUUUUAUUUUUCACUAUGUUUAGGGCAAUGUGUUUUUCGAUAAAGUAGAAAAUGUCAAACAUUAAAUUAGGACACAAUUAUAAAUAACAUUUCUGUUUGGGCAGUAACGUGUACUGUGUUAAUAUUCUAACAUGCUUUCAUUGAUAAAUUGUUUCAUUUUUAUUAUUAAUUAUUAAGAAACAGAAGGAUGAGAAGAGUUUCCCAAUAUACUGAUAAUCAAAACAAAUUGUAUAAUGAACUGUCAAGCAGACUUACAGCCAUGUCUGGAGUCUAAAAGAUUAUGCUUUGGGCUUAGACAAGUCAAUAUAGAAUCAGCUAAAAAGCACAGUGCUUAUAAAAGUAGAGACCUGAUAAGAGGGGCAAACAUUCUAAAAUCAUUGUUCAAUUAAAGAAACAGCAAACAUAGUUUUUCUCCCUGUUUUAAACAUUGUUUGAAUUUUAAUCAUUUCCACCAGCCUUAUUCUUAUGGACAACUACAUUUUCAGCAGGGCUUUACAGUAUGAACUACUUUGAAACAAAUUUUUAAAUUUUUUUCUUUUCAUAGAAUGAUUCUUUAUUCAUAUUCAGAAUUCAAGAGAGCUUUUGUUUUCCUCUUCAAUCUCAUAACCAGCCUUGGUUUGCAAAAGGAACUCUAAGUUGACCAUAAACUCAGAUCUCUGUGUUCGUAUCUCUUUUAUGUCCCCAGAAGCUUACUCAGCUGUGCUCUCUUGCCAUGUGCAUUGCUGUAUUUGUAAAGACACAUCCAGAAUCCUGUAUCUAAAAGACAUUUAUUAACCAUCUAUCUAUCAGAUACAGGGCAUGAUGAUGGCCACAAGGGAUGCAGAAUUGCAUUAAUCAAUAUUUCUGCUCUGAGGGAGAUUACAGCUUAAUGAGGAUGCGUUGAAACAAAUAUUAGAGCUCAUUGAAGGCAGAGUGUAAAUGUAGAAUUGAGGCACUUUAAGAAUCCAAGGAUAGAAUGACUAACCCUCUAAGGAGGGCCAAGUAGUGAUUCAUAGAGCAGUUGCUUUUGCUAUGGAGCUCAAAGAAUGAGUGGAAUACUGCUAGAUCACAGCAAUGGAAAAAAGUAAUUAGUAGCAAAUGAUUGAGGGCUUUUUAUAUGUCAGAGAUUAGAGGUCGGAAACAGAUUGUAAAGGGUUUACAUGCCAGUUAUUUGUAGCUAUUACUACUAAUAUUUAUAUGUGCCUUGAUGAAAAAAAAGACAUGUAUUUUCUUUUCCUUUGGAAACUGUUGUGGCAGCAGUGUGAGGGUGAAUCUUGUAGACAAGAGAGUAGAGAAUGUUGGUUGAAAAUCAGUUAAGUGGAGCUAUUUAAAAUGUAAAUGUGGGAGGAUAUUGAUGAGAAUUGAAAUUAAAACAGUAAACAUAAGUCUGGGCUAUUAUGGAAUAGGAGAUCUGACUAAUAAAAUGCAUCUUGUGAUCAAACCUUUACAGCCAAGAGGAAGUUUUGUGAUACACGAAGUAAACAAAGUAAUAAACACAACAGCAUUAACAUUUAACAUGGAAGAUUUAAACCUGUCUCAAAGGCACUAGCCAUUAAUUACAGUUGUGGCCAAAUGCUUAUACAAGACAGAAUAUAAAUGUGGAAACCAUUUAGUUUUCAUAAUUAAAGGUAACUAUUAUCCUCAAAGCAGUAACUUCAGGGACAAAUAAGCAUGAUGUUAAAGAUGGUUCUCUGAAUAACUUCCUUUUUGAAAGAUGUCAGGUAAAAAUUUGUAAAGUGUAAAGGGACAGUGGAGACUAAAUUGCUGCAGGCUGUGAAAACAGAAGCCCUAGUUUAGAGGCAGAAAUUUGUAUCAACUUUUAUACUUUACAUUUUGAAACAUAACAAUUUUUGACUUUUUUUUUUUAACUCCAGCACAGACGUGAAAUUUUGCAUAUUCUGUCUAUUUUCUACUAGAAACAUGUUAAGUCUGUUGAUCACAUCCAGAGAGAAGAUAGCCAUCAGCUCACUAAUUAGAGGUAAAUUGUACUAUUUCCUUGAACACCAGAGAGGAUGAUAUCUAUUGAUUCUAUCCAAAUUGUAGAGUUAGACAUUCUUUUAAAUCAGUUAGGUCUUCAGUCUGAUUGUACAUUGCACUAAGGAAGCAGUGUGUUGUAAUCCACAAUACAAAGGUAAAUUUGGGUUCAGUUCCUGUUUCUACAACUCAGUAAAACUACACUCCUCACUGUAUACCAGGAUCUAGCAAACUGCCUGACACGGGGUAGGGGCUCAUACCUUUCUGUUGCAUGAAUAAAUAAAUAUUGCUCUAGAUUUGAUUCAUCUAACUCAAAAUAUCCUAAUCUGUUGUGAGAACUGAUUGGUUAUACAGAAAUAUAUCAGAAAUGAGUCUCAGGACUGCUUUAUUUUAAUCUCUCAUGACACCUAGUAUAGGCAAAUGGCUUCAGCAUUUCGGCCUAACAUUCUUGGUCAAGAUGAUAUUCUUUAUGGAGGUUAAAAUAAAUCAAACACACGAAGAACAACACUUUUGGUUUUGGAAAAAGGUUAGAGAACUAAAAAUAAGUCUAUUCCUUACCCCAAUUCAACCACACCAGACAUAGGUGGUCUUUUUAAAAAUGCAGUUUGAACAGUAAUAGUGUAGCAAUUUUUAUUAUGUCAAUUGUGGUAUUUUUAUACUGUCUCAGAUUUUCAGAUUUUUCUUUUUCACAGACUAUGAUCUUAAAUCCAGGGCCCCAUGGUCUCUCUCUCCUUAGUGUCUUCAGUCUUAUAUACUUCAGUGCAGACAUGAAAACAGCCUUAGUGUUUAAAUAAGUACUCAACAAGGUGAGUCAAUUUACAGUGAAAAAUAUAGCCAUGAUUUCAUUCACCAUUUUGUAUAUUAACUUUGUAUCCUGAAACUUUUCUAAAUUCACCUACUAUAUCUAGCUUUGUUGUAUAUUCUUUAAGGUUUUCUUUUGUUUGUGUUCUUUUUUGUCUGUUUACUUUUUGCAUGGAUGAUCACACUGUCUGCCCAUAAAGACAGUUUUUAUGUGUUCCUUUUCAAUCUGUGUGUCUUUUAAUCUAUUUUGCCUUAUUACUUUGGCUGGGACCCCUCAGUACAAUGUUGUGUAGAAGUAGAGAAAACAGACAUCCUUCCUUUCUUCUUGAUAUGUAGUAUUCAGUCUUUCUUUGUUAAGUACGCUUUUAAGUAAUGUUUUUUUCAUAGAUUCAUGCAUGAGGUUGAGUGAGUUUCUUUCUCUUUAUAUUUUGCUGAGAGUUUUUCUCAUGAAUGGCUCUAGAAUUUUUGUUAAAUGUACUUUAGUGCAUCUUUUGAUACAAUCAUAUGAUUUUUUUCUGUUAAUAUGGUGAAUUAUAUUGGUAGAAUUUUACAUGCCAAACUUACCUAAAAUUCCUGCUGUAAACCCAUCUGGUCAUGUUUUAUUAUCUUGUUCAUAUUUUUUAAUAUUGUUGUCAAAUUCCUAAAAUUCUCUUAUUAGUUUUAUGUCUUUGCUCAUGAAGAAUGUAAGUCUAUGGUUUACUUUUCCUGUAUUAUAUAGAAGCAGAUUUCUUAUGUAUUUAACACUGUAUGUAACUUUAAUGUGCUCUUCUGUCCAAUGGCUUUUAUUCUCUUUUUCUGGACUUUUAUAUUUUUACCCUCAUUUUUCUACCCUGGAGCUCUUGUCUUCAUAGCACUUCAGCUCUCCAUAUUCUCUGGCCUCAAAUGUCAUUCUUUUUCCUAUGGAUGUACACCCCUAAACCCUCAGAAGUGUUAAUGCAUAAUAAGCUAUCCAAAUUUUUAUUAAUAUUCUGCAAGAAUAGCUUUUCUCAACCAUAUUAGAACUGAUAAGAUUUAUUUUUUAACAUGUAUUUUAUAAUUCAUUUUCCCUUUUUGGAUAUAAAACAUGAAUUUACUACAUGAAUAGAAUUUACAGUGAUAACAUAAAGGAGAAAUAAAGGGUGAGCAAUUUAUAAUAAAAUAAUUACAUUUAUUUCAUUUUACUAAUGCUUGGGUUAUAUACUACUAUGAAGACUCAAUGAAAUAAUCAGAUGCCUACAACUAUAUGCAGAAUGUCUUUAAUAAGUACAGAUUUAUUAUAUUGCAUCUCAAACAUCAUGAGCAGUAUUCUGAUGUAGGUGGUAGAUUAUGCUUAAUGGAAAAAAAUAUUGGUUAAAAAAAAGCUUUACUGGGAGUUCCCGUCGUGGCUCAGUGGUUAACGAAUCCGACUAGGAAUGAUGUGAGGUUGUGGGUUCGAUCCCUGGCCUUGCUCAGUGGGUUAAGGAUCCGGCGUUGCCAUGAGCUGUGGUGUAAGUCGCAGAUGUGGCUUGGAUCCCCCAUUGCUGUGUCUCUAGCAUAGGCCAGCGGCUACAGCUCCCAUUCGACCCCUAGCGUGGGAACCUCCAUAUGCCAUGGGAGCGGCCCAAGAAAUGGC
rnacentral:lncRNA from 1 species